GUUCUCUUUUAAGUCUUGAUCCCCAUUUAAUCAGGAUUCCUCUAAUGACUCCCUUAUGUGCCUCCCAUACCCAAGGGACUGUAGUGUCAGGUUUAGUAUUCUCUUCGAAGUACAUAUUCAAUGUUGUGUGGAGAUCUUCCACUACUUGAGGGUCAUCUAGGAGAGUCUCAUUCAGGCGCCAGUUGGUAUUGUGUCUAGCUUCACCUUGUGUGUUUUAGUCAGGAAUAUAGGGGCGUGGUCAGUCCAGGUGAUAUUACCCAUGGAUGCUUCAUUUACCAAAUUAAGGUGUCUAUGGUCUAGGAGGAACAUACC